ensembl:lncRNA
AUGAUGAAUAAAGUUAAAUACGCUGUGUUUCCAGCAAACUGGCAACCCAGGUGCUGAAAUACAAUUGAGUAAACUACCAGUAAGCAGGUUUCACAAACCAAAACAAAGAUUGAAAUUCCGGCCCGGAAUGCACAUUUUUUAAGGAGAAUUGUAGCAUUGUUUUUCAGAUAAACAAGUAUAUUAACUUAGCAUGUUUCUUAAAUAUCUGCAAACAUAUUAUGGUAUUUUUAUGCUUUCGUAGAGUCAAAAUGUUACAUACAGCACCUUUAAAUUAACCAAUAUUUCUUUGUAACGUUAGUCUUAAAAAUCGGAAGACAAAUAGCAUUUAAAGCAAUGGAUUUCCUGUUGAACUUUCGGUGGUGGGUUAUAAGGUCUGUGGUUUCGUUCUACAACUUAAAAGGCGCACAGUCAUACCUAAAACAGAUGUGCUGUGUUUUCUAAAGAAGGCCUACAACCAAACACGUAAAUUUAGAUAGGUGUGGUAGAUGUAGUCUUUAUUUAGUUGGCCUACAAAUUGACAUCACGGCAGUGUCACGUGACACAGAUUUCAUUCGCACGCGUGGUGGUUCCUCCAGCAGCAGCGUUCGUCAACUAGAGCUGUGGCCGAACGGAGGUGAACAUGGCCAAUGUGUCGGAGAGGACGUUACAGGUCGCUUUAGUUGUUUCGUUUGCGGCUGGUUUUAUCGCCGGCUGGCAGGCAAACAGAAUGCGAAGAAGGUUCUUGGACUGGCGAAAAAAGAGGUUACAAGACAAGCUCGCAGAAACACAGAAGAAGCUAGACCUGUCAUGACACAUACAAAAUAUCAUGAAGCCGACCUGUGCCUCGGUCAUCGGUCAAUACUUUAGUAUUCCUGACUUCACAAACAGAAUGAGGAGUCUAUCAGCACCUCUCCAGCUCUCAACAGGAUCAGGCGUUCAACCUUGGAUCAAAGACACGAUCUACAGGCUGGAAUGGAUGCUUUGGUGCAGCAGGCUGAUAAACCAGAUGCGUCAAGACAGGACAGAGACCUUGGAGAGGUAAAGAAGACUUCUGUCUGUUUUGUUUUUGAACGUCUCUACAUCAACUAGGUUAAAUACAGCGAUACAUUGCUCUCAGUGGAUGUACGGGAGAGGAAAAAGAACCUCAGCAUCCAGGUUUUAACAUUUUAUUUUAGUUAGAAUACUUGAAUUCAGGUUAUUUUCUUUUUUGUCUUUUUUUGUGUUGUUUCAGAAAGGAGAGGUUUUAAAAGUUCUCUAUAAAAAUAAGGAUGGAUGGUGGCUGGCUAAAAACUCAAAAGGCCAGAAGGGCCUGGUACCCAAAACCUUCCUGAAGGUGCGUGUAAUUUCACAGACACUCAGUGAGUGCGUUUACAUGCACAAUGUAAAUAUUUGAUAACAUGAAAGUCAUAUACACACAUUAAACUGUGUUUAGAUCAUUAACAUGGAUGAACUACAUCUACAAAUGUAUUUUAACCGUGCGUUUUCAGAUGGCUUCUCUGCAUGAUAGUGAGAGAGAGAGAAUGAGGAUGUGGGGGAGAAUGAAGAAGAAGAGAAGGAGUCUGACAUAAAGUCCAUGUGAUAUUUCCUCUAUCUCCACUAGAUAGCAGCAUUGUUUUCAUAUUUUGUUGUUUUUUGCAUGUCUGUGCUUUUAUCUUAAUUAAAGAGCAGUGAAUAUAGCUCACAAUUUCAGUCAUCUCUAAAACUGACCAGACCAACUUUUAACCAAAAGUCUCAGUUAAUAUGCAGCCUUUAUUAAAGAAAAUGAUUUAAUACUGUCUCUUUUUCAACUAGCAAAACAUCCAAUUGGAACACAGUGUGGAAGGCUGUUACUGAGGUAAUAAUAAUAAUAAUAAUAAUAAUAAUAAUAACAACAUUAAAAAAAAAAAUCGUAAUUAAUCCAAAAUUUUGACCAACAAUAUAGAAAGAAAGAUUGUGUAUGUGUGUAUUUGUCAAGGUUCACGGACACCCAUCUAGAGUGAGUUUAACACUGACCCUGUGAAGUUGUCGAAUGAUCCCAUCCCCCAGGGUCAGGGUUACAGGUUCUCAGCAGGCACGUUCGGCUCUGUGCAUUUAACGGAUCCCAGGUAACACACACUGCUGCACCUACAACCGGAAUGACAGCCUCUUUAUGAUCUUAAAAAAGAGAGAUUCGCGUACAGUAAUCAGGGUGGAACCAACCUAAAACAAAUAACAAAGCAUCAUGAGAUUAAAAACUGGGGGUGCUUGAAUUAAUACAGUUACAAUCCAAAAGCAUGAGUGUAAAAUAAAACGCAUAUUUGAGUCUUGAGUGUUAAGAGU